GUUUGGGGUCUGAGUCUGGGGCCCUCAGAAGCCAGGAGCUCCCCCUUGGGCCCAUCCUGGUGUCCAGCUGGCCCUGAGACCGAGGGCCCUGCCCACAGUGAGGACAGAGAAAGAGCUGAAGCCAGAGAGCCAAGGGCCUUGACUGAUCGUCUCCCAGGCCGCUCCCCUGACAGAGCUUCAUGCAAGAUUGUUUCCACAAACCCGAAGCAGAGCCAAAGAGCCACCUGGAGCCUGGCUCUGAAGAGGCACUCAAGACCUGUAAUCCCUCCCCUUCUUCUCCCUUUCCUUCAAAGUUCCUGGAGCUCAAAGUCUCUCCAGGCCCUCCUGCUGCCCACACAAUCCACUGUGGUUAUUAUCAGGGUGACAGGCCCCACCCUCCUCUGCCUCCGGUACAUGGUCGUUUCCUGAAGUAAAGAAGUCAGCAGCUUGAGUCUCAGCAACGAAGAGGCCAUGGAUUUAGGGGAAACUCCCCAACACUCCCUGAACGACAAACCUUCCAGUGGGCAAUUUGGAGAGGAAGGAACUGAGGACUCUCAUUUCCGGAAGCCCAUGCGGAUUCUUUACCAACUGUGCCACCUGGGAAGCCCCUUUGCCAUCUGUGGCUUGUGUAUUGAGAAAAAACAUUACCCAACACCAAAUGAGCAGUCACUGCAGACCAGGUAGCAUUGCUCCACCGUGCAGCAUGCAGGAUCUGAAUUCUCGACCGGGGGUGGGCGUGGGGGGUUGAAUUUCUGUCCCUGGCAUUGGGAGCUCAGAGUCUUAACUCCUGGACCUCCAGGGAAGUCCCACUCCUGCAUCUUACAGUGACCACAAGUUUUGCAUCUCUGUGUGUGAAAACCAAACAACGAAAAGGCACCGCUGCAGGAGAUGCACUAAACUCUGAAUGGUGACUUGGCUAAAGAUUAUUUUUAAUUGUCUCUGUAACUGAAAGGCUAAAAAGAAAUCCUAUAUAUUGGAGACCUCCCCCAUGGUAAUUCUCUUCAUUGCAUUUUAAAUUCCAUUGAAAUUUAUUUGUAAGCACUUCUUGUGACUUAAAAUAUAGGCAUUUUGGCUAA